GAUGAACGCUGGCGGCGUGCCUAAUACAUGCAAGUCGAGCGAACGGACGAGAAGCUUGCUUCUCUGAUGUUAGCGGCGGACGGGUGAGUAACACGUGGAUAACCUACCUAUAAGACUGGGAUAACUUCGGGAAACCGGAGCUAAUACCGGAUAAUAUUUUGAACCGCAUGGUUCAAAAGUGAAAGACGGUCUUGCUGUCACUUAUAGAUGGAUCCGCGCUGCAUUAGCUAGUUGGUAAGGUAACGGCUUACCAAGGCAACGAUGCAUAGCCGACCUGAGAGGGUGAUCGGCCACACUGGAACUGAGACACGGUCCAGACGCCUACGGGAGGCAGCAGUAGGGAAUCUUCCGCAAUGGGCGAAAGCCUGACGGAGCAACGCCGCGUGAGUGAUGAAGGUCUUCGGAUCGUAAAACUCUGUUAUUAGGGAAGAACAUAUGUGUAAGUAACUGUGCACAGCUUGACGGUACCUAAUCAGAAAGCCACGGCUAACUACGUG
rnacentral:rRNA from 1 species